UACGUAGGGGGCAAGCGUUAUCCGGAUUUACUGGGUGUAAAGGGAGCGUAGACGGCUUGGUAAGUCUGAUGUGAAAGCCCAGGGCUCAACCCUGGGACUGCAUUGGAAACUACUUGGCUAGAGUGCAGGAGAGGUAAGUGGAAUUCCUAGUGUAGCGGUGAAAUGCGUAGAUAUUAGGAGGAACACCAGUGGCGAAGGCGACUUACGGGACUGUUACUGACGUUGAGGCUCGAAAGCGUGGGGAGCAAACAGG
rnacentral:rRNA from 1 species